CGAAGAUUCGGGUCACAGUACGGAGUGGCCAAACUGCACGUUGAUGGAAACAAAGACAUUUCCUGUCAUUAGGAUUCUCUCUCCGCGACAAUAGAGCCGGAAGUGGCCCAGGGCAUCCAGGAGGCCGUGGACACCCCUGCUGAUGCUUUUCUGAGUCAGAGCUGCAGGUUUCCGUCUGAGCUGGGUGGCGACUUUGGCUGCCAGAUGGAAGAAGAAAAAGCCCAUCAAAUUCACAAAUGCAGUCAUGUGUCGUUUCUGCUCAGCCACAUCUGGAGAGAUACCUAAAUGGGCUGGUGAUCUCAAGGACUUGAUGACCUCGAUCGCAGUUCCAGACACCAAGGGGAA